rnacentral:rRNA from 1 species
CUGGACGUAUCACAAGUGCGAAUGCUGACAUAAGUAACGAUAAAACGGGUGAAAAACCCGUUCGCCGGAAGACCAAGGGUUCCUGUCCAACGUUAAUCGGGGCAGGGUGAGUCGGCUCCUAAGGCGAGGCUGAAAAGCGUAGUCGAUGGGAAACAGGUUAAUAUUCCUGUACUUGGUAAAGCUGCGAUGUGGGGACGGAGUAGGUUAGGUUAUCGCACUGUUGGAUAUGUGCGUUUAAGUUGGUAGGUGGGAAGUUUAGGCAAAUCCGGACUUCCUUAACACAGAGAGAUGAUGACGAGGCUCUACGGAGCUGAAGUAACUGAUACCACACUUCCAGGAAAAGCCACUAAGCGAAAGGCUUUACUAAACCGUACUGAAAACCGACACAGGUGGUCAGGUAGAGAAUACUCAGGCGCUUGAGAGAACUCGGGUGAAGGAACUAGGCAAAAUAGCACCGUAACUUCGGGAGAAGGUGCGCCGGCGUAGAUUGUAGUCCCUAGCGGGCGAAGGUUGAACCGGUCGAAGAUACCAGCUGGCUGCAACUGUUUAUUAAAAACACAGCACUCUGCAAACACGAAAGUGGACGUAUAGGGUGUGAUGCCUGCCCGGUGCUGGAAGGUUAAUUGAUGGUGUCAUCGCAAGAGAAGCACCUGAUCGAAGCCCCAGUAAACGGCGGCCGUAACUAUAACGGUCCUAAGGUAGCGAAAUUCCUUGUCGGGUAAGUUCCGACCUGCACGAAUGGCAUAAUGAUGGCCAGGCUGUCUCCACCCGAGACUCAGUGAAAUUGAAAUCGCCGUGAAGAUGCGGUGUACCCGCGGCUAGACGGAAAGACCCCGUGAACCUUUACUAUAGCUUGACACUGAACAUUGAAUUUUGAUGUGUAGGAUAGGUGGGAGCCUUUGAAGCAGUGACGCCAGUCAUUGUGGAGGCGACCUUGAAAUACCACCCUUUAACGUUUGAUGUUCUAACGAAGAUGACGAAACGUGGUCUCGGACAGUGUCUGGUGGGUAGUUUGACUGGGGCGGUCUCCUCCCAAAGCGUAACGGAGGAGCACGAAGGUUUGCUAAUCACGGUCGGACAUCGUGAGGUUAGUGCAAUGGUAUAAGCAAGCUUAACUGCGAGACAGACAAGUCGAGCAGGUACGAAAGUAGGUCAUAGUGAUCCGGUGGUUCUGAAUGGAAGGGCCAUCGCUCAACGGAUAAAAGGUACUCCGGGGAUAACAGGCUGAUACCGCCCAAGAGUUCAUAUCGACGGCGGUGUUUGGCACCUCGAUGUCGGCUCAUCACAUCCUGGGGCUGAAGUAGGUCCCAAGGGUAUGGCUGUUCGCCAUUUAAAGUGGUACGCGAGCUGGGUUUAGAACGUCGUGAGACAGUUCGGUCCCUAUCUGCCGUGGGCGU